rnacentral:rRNA from 1 species
GAUGAACUGUGGGUAGCGGAGAAAUUCCAAUCGAACCCGGAGAUAGCUGGUUCUCUCCGAAAUAGCUUUAGGGCUAGCCUUGAAAUAGAUUACCGGAGGUAAAGCACUGAAUUGGCUAGGGGCCGAGAGGUUACUGAACCUUAUCAAACUAAGAAUGCCGGAUAAUCGUUUUUCAGGAGUCAGACAGUGGGAGAUAAGUUUCAUUGUCAAAAGGGAAACAGCCCAGACCCACAGCUAAGGUCCCCAAGUAUAGUUAAGUGGAAAAGGAUGUGGAAUUGCACAGACAACCAGGAUGUUGGCUUAGAAGCAGCCACUCAUUAAAAGAGUGCGUAAUAGCUCACUGGUCGAGUGACUCUGCGCCGAAAAUUUAACGGGGCUAAACUAUACACCGAAGCUUGGGAUACAUCUAAUGUAUGGUAGGAGAGCGUUCUGUAUGGGGAGAAGUCGUAGCGAAAGCGGCGGUGGACUAUACAGAAGUGAGAAUGCCGGAAUAAGUAGCGAGAAUUAAGUGAGAAUCUUAAUGGCCGAAAGUCUAAGGUUUUUGGAGGAAGGUUCGUCCGCUCCAAGUAAGUCGGGAGCUAAGGUCAGGCCGAAAGGCGUAGCCGAUGCACAUACGGUUGAUAUUCCGUAACCAUCUGUAAUUUAAGCAAAGGGACACUUCAAAAGGGUGUGACCCGGGCGUUGGUUGACCCGGGCGUAAGGGACCGAAAUUAGAGUAGGGAAGCACACUUAGCUGAAGGCGAGAAAAGCUUUGCGUAUAGAAGCAGAUGCCCGUACCGCAAACCGACACAGGUGGACAGGAAGAGAAUUCUAAGGCCAGCGGGAGAAGGGUAGUUAAGGAACUCGGCAAAUUGACUCCGUAACUUCGGAAUAAGGAGUGCUCGAAAGAGCCGCAGAGAAUAGGCCCAGGCGACUGUUUAGCAAAAACACAGGUCUCUGCCAAAUCGAAAGAUGAAGUAUAGGGGCUGACACCUGCCCGGUGCCGGAAGGUUAAGAGGAGGAGUGAGAGCUCCGAAUUGAAGCCCCGGUAAACGGCGGCCGUAACUAUAACGGUCCUAAGGUAGCGAAAUUCCUUGUCGGGUAAGUUCCGACCCGCACGAAUGGUGUAACGAUCUGGGCACUGUCUCAACUACCCACCCGGCGAAAUUGUAGUACCGGUGAAGAUGCCGGUUACCUGCGGCAAGACGGAAAGACCCCAUGGAGCUUUACUGUAGCCUGAUAUUGGGUUUCGGAAAUCUAUGUACAGGAUAGGCGGGAGACUGGGAAACAUGAGCGUCAGCUUGUGUGGAGUCGAUGUUGGGAUACCGCCCUUAGGUUUCUGGAAUUCUAACCUGCGGCCGUGAAUCCGGUCGGGGGACAUUGUCAGGUGGGCAGUUUGACUGGGGCGGUCGCCUCCGAAAAGGUAACGGAGGCGCUCAAAGGUUAGCUCAGCACGGACGGAAACCGUGCCUCUGAGUGUAAACGCAAAAGCUAGCCUAACUGCGAGGGUGACGGCCCGAGCAGUAACGAAAGUUGGAGUUAGUGAUCCGGCGGUAUGUGAAUGGAAAUGCCGUCGCUCAACGGAUAAAAGCUACCCUGGGGAUAACAGGCUGAUCUCCCCCAA